rnacentral:lncRNA from 1 species
ACCUUCAUACAAAGAAUUGGUUUCAACUUCCACGUGCGAUAUCGAAAUGGAUGCCCUCUCUCUUCACUCCUUUAUUCUCAAGCUACACAUCACUUGUUAUUUCUGCUUCUAAUUUUGUUUAGUGAUGAUAAUAAUGAAUUAAUCUUGUAAUUAGGGAAAGUGCUCCGUCUUCAACGUCCACGUAAUCAUCUAAUGAUGUUCCUGUAGCUUCGUCUUCUCAAAAUCGCAAUGCAAUCCUUGUCAAUCACAUACAGGUAUAAUCAAAUCAAUACCGUUUAGUUUCCUAAAUACUUUAGGAUACUUCUAUUUUAUUUAACAUUUUCACUUUUGUUUUUCUAGUUUUAAUACCACUAGAGAUAGAAACGCCAUAAUAAUUAGAUUAAAGUUACAAUUUUAUUAUGAUUAAAACGACCGAUACUAAGAGUACCAACAUACGGUUUUUUUUUUUUUUUUAAGGUUAUUCUUAAUAGAAAAAGAAUAUUCUUAUAUUUACUGUAGUUCUAUAUCCAAAAACAUCAAAAUAUCUAUAAAAUUAUAUUUUUUAUUUAUAAUUAAUUUCUAAUAUUUAUAAUAAGUAAGUAAUUAUUCUUAAUAUUUUAAAAGUAUGGGUAGGUUGUGAGACCCAAUUAAAAAUAAGAAUAAUUUUUGUCAUUGUAGGAAAAAAUAUUUUAUGAAGAGUUAUAAUAAAUUAUAAAAUAAUGUGUGAGAUUCAAAUAAGAAUAAAAAUGAAAAUGUUUUUCUUUAUUGUAUAUGAUCGAACUUUUAAAACAUUGUUUCUUUCUUUUAAUAUGAUAUUGUGCUUUUAUGCCAAUCUUAUAUUGAAUCUAUAUCUUGUAUCAUAGUCCUACAUGUCCUAUAAUUUUUCAGUUUGAAAUAUCCUUAUGCCUUGUCAUACUGAAAUCAGUCCAGUUCCGGAUGAAGAUGGUGAUAUGUGUCAUGUGUUGUGUCCAUUGCUUUUGGCUACUUGAUUUUUCAUACCAUAUUGCCAUUCAACCAUGGAUUUCGUCGUGGUAUGCUCUGUCAGUAUUACUUUGGUAUAUAUAUGGAAUGCUUUUCUGUAAUUAGAACACACAAAUAUAUAUAAAUCAUAUUUCAUACCACGUGACUUUAAUUACCUUUACCUGUCUAAUUGAUGUUAUACUAUUCCAUUCUUAUCUUGUUAUACCUUGGAGAAAUGUGG